rnacentral:lncRNA from 1 species
CCACACCUUAGGAAGAUGCACAGAGCGACACCGGUGCAGAGCAGCAGUGGGGCUUAGAAGGGACUAGUAUCUGGAAGGUCAGUGUCAAGACACCCUGAUGAAGAAAGGACCAGCUGAAGUUUGCACAGAAGAAUCUUGGGUCUGGGGAUGAUGGCUGAGUUCUCUGGAGCCUCAGGAGUCUUGGAUGAGAGUGCAGGGAGGAGAAAGACGCCCAUCCUGUGUUAGAGUCCUGCUGAUUACUGGAGACUGUUGAGCCAACCUACUAAAGAAGCAUCCGGCAUGGACAGCUGGACAAGAAAACAAACCCCAAAUCUGAGCCAAUUAUGUGUGUAAAUAAAACAGCACCGGAC